rnacentral:rRNA from 1 species
CAGUUCGGAUUGUAGUCUGCAACCCGACUACAUGAAGCUGGAAUCGCUAGUAAUCGCGGAUCAGAAUGCCGCGGUGAAUACGUUCCCGGGUCUUGUACACACCGCCCGUCACACCAUGGGAGUCGGAAAUGCCCGAAGUCUGUGACCCAACCAUUAAGGAGGGAGCAGCCGAAGGCAGGUCGGAUGACUGGGGUGAAGUCGUAACAAGGUAGC